rnacentral:rRNA from 1 species
UACGGGGGGGGUAAGCGUUGUUCGGAAUUACUGGGCGUAAAGGGCUUGUAGGCGGCCAACUAAGUCAGACGUGAAAUCCCUCAGCUUAACUGGGGAACUGCGUCUGAUACUGGAUGGCUUGGAUUCGGGAGAGGAAUGCGGAAUUCCAGGUGUAGCGGUGAAAUGCGUAGAUAUCUGGAGGAACACCGGUGGCGAAGGCGGCAUUCUGGACCGACAUUGACGCUGAGGAGCGAAAGCCAGGGGAGCAAACGGG